rnacentral:lncRNA from 1 species
AUUCCGCGGUCACACCUUUACAAAAGCUUCGGCGGCGUAAAUAUAUUGAAAAUAUUGAAAAUUACCAUUAAAUUGACUAAUUCAAGAAUUGAAAACCCAAGUAAAACAAUAAAAAGUCAUGGUGGAUGCCGCAGCAUGCGAAUUACCUUACAAAAACAGGGCAGUAAGUACCGAACGGACCGCAUGCGAAUCUUGCUCGCAUGUGAAUCUGUCUCAUUUCUUUGAUGAUCAUUUUGAAAAUGAAAUUAAUUUCUUCUGUUUUUAGGCCGCUGGCGAGGUUUGCUGCUUGGUAGGAGAGUUGAAUGGCACGCAAAUAAGCGAACUGUGUGGAACGAUGCACUUUGCUGGUCCACAUGGGAUACCCAUGCAUCAAUGUGCAGUUCGAGGAGUCCGAGAAGGAGAGCGACAUAGAGCAAAAAAUGCACAUUAAUUACAGAUAAUGUGAGUAUACAUGCGGUACACAUUGAUAUAAUUUAUGGGUAAUCUGGUGUGUGAUUCUUACUCAACAGUUAGCCAAUGAAGAAGCUGGCAGCAAUGCGAAGAAAGAACGCAACCAUCAGCCCCUGGAAGUCGAUGUCUAAUCCACCAGAGUUGUUUAAGCUAGUUUCACAAGGAUGCUAACGUUGCGCAGAACAAGUUGGUCUAUGCGUUCAAGAUCCUCAAAGUAGGUCUACGAAAAUCAAUUUUUACUGUUGCUGGGCCAUGCUUGCUUUGACUUCAACUUUGCCUGCUCCCAAAUUGGGCGAUACGAAGCAGACACUGGGCUUGUGUGAAUGUUUUGAGCUCGAAUGUGUGGCUGUGGAUGUGGCACUGAGAAGGUAAGGUGUAUAUUUACACUUCUAGCAGCUCUCCUUUUACCUGUUCUCCUUUCGUUUGUUUCAGGCAAUCGAACCCGUUUUCGUUUUCAUGGAGCUGAAGGAUGAGGAUUGUACGCGUCAGCUGCAGCACUCCAAUACACAGAUGGCCGAUGGGGUCCGUUACUGCAAUCGGUAACAUUCCAACGCAGAAGAUCGAAGAAGGCUGGCGGGUCGUUCUUCCGGGCAAACCUGACUUUUCUUUGUAAGACAUGCGACUCUUACGAUCAGGAUUACAUGUUCUUCAUCAAAGUGGACGAUCUCCAAUAUAAGAAUGAGAGCACAUCGGAUUAGGUUAAGAUUAGCAUAACAAAUGUAUCCACCAAUUUUGCAAACAUGAAGUGAACCAAGUUUUGUCGAAUAAUAAAAAGCGUGGCAUACUUUCAGGUUGAAAGGAU